AUUGAACGCUGGCGGCAGGCCUAACACAUGCAAGUCGAGCGGAUGAAGGGAGUUUGCUCCUGGAUUCAGCGGCGGACGGGUGAGUAAUGCCUAGGAAUCUGCCUGGUAGUGGGGGAUAACGUCCGGAAACGGGCGCUAAUACCGCAUACGUCCUGAGGGAGAAAGUGGGGGAUCUUCGGACCUCACGCUAUCAGAUGAGCCUAGGUCGGAUUAGCUAGUUGGUGGGGUAAAGGCCUACCAAGGCGACGAUCCGUAACUGGUCUGAGAGGAUGAUCAGGCAAACUGGAACUGAGACACGGUCCAGACUCCUACGGGAAGCAGCAGUGGGGAAUAUUGGACAAUGGGCGGAAGCCUGAUCCAGCCAUGCCGCGUGUGUGAAGAAGGUCUUCGGAUUUUAAAGCACUUUAAGUUGGGAGGAAGGGCAGUAAGUUAAUACCUUGCUGUUUUGACGUUACCAACAGAAUAAGCACCGGCUAACUUCGUG
rnacentral:rRNA from 1 species